rnacentral:piRNA from 1 species
UGGGAAGGAAGGUUUGCCCACUCUGAGU